rnacentral:rRNA from 1 species
GACGAACGCUGGCGGCGUGCUUAACACAUGCAAGUCGAACGGAAAGGCCUGCUUUCCCUUGUGGAUUGCGGGUACUCGAGUGGCGAACGGGUGAGUAACACGUGAGUGAUCUGCCCCCAACUUGGGUAUAAGCCUGGGAAACUGGGUCUAAUUCCCGAUAGGACUGCAGGGUGGUGCCUGUGGUGGAAAACGAUUUUCUAGAGGUUGGGGAUGAGCUCGCGGCCUAUCAGCUUGUUGGUGGGGUAAUGGCCUACCAAGGCGGCGACGGGUAGCCGGCCUGAGAGGGUGGACGGCCACAUUGGGACUGAGAGACGGCCCAGACUCCUACGGGAGGCAGCAGUGGGGAAUAUUGCACAAUGGGCGGAAGCCUGAUGCAGCGACGCCGCGUGGGGGAUGACGGCCUUCGGGUUGUAAACUCCUUUCGACCGCGAGGAAGCCACCUGGUUGGAAGGGUGGUGACGGUAGUGGUAGAAGAAGCACCGGCUAACUACGUG